rnacentral:rRNA from 1 species
CCUACGGGCGGCAGCAGUGAGGAAUAUUGGUCAAUGGGCACUAGCCUGAACCAGCCAAGUAGCGUGAAGGAUGACUGCCCUAUGGGUUGUAAACUUCUUUUAUAUGGGAAUAAGGUGUAGUAUGGAUACUGCUUUGCGUGUACCUUAUGAAUAAGGAUCGGCUAACUCCGUGCCAGCAGCCGCGGUAAUACGGAGGAUGCGAGCGUUAUCCGGAUUUAUUGGGUUUAAAGGGAGCGUAGGCGGUUUGUUAAGUCAGUUGUGAAAUUUUGCGGCUCAACCGUAGAAUUGCAGUUGAUACUGGCAUCCUUGAGUACAGUAGGGGUAGGCGGAAUUCGUGGUGUAGCGGUGAAAUGCUUAGAUAUCACGAAGAACUCCGAUCGCGAAGGCAGCCUGCUGGCCUGUAACUGACGCUGAUGCACGAAAGUGUGGGUAUCAAACAGGAUUAGAUACCCGUGUAGUC